rnacentral:rRNA from 1 species
AUGAGGAACACCCCCUUGGGUCUGCUCCUCCUCGUCUGUGUCGCCGUGUUGCACGCAGAUGCAUCGCAAGAGGCUCAGCUCAGAAGGUUCAUCCGGUCUAGACGGAGCAGUAGCAAUGCCAACAACAUAGAUGAACCAAGGGUAGGAAUCACUACCACUACCCGUAGCCCUACAGAGUACUAUGUCCAUGACCUGGCCAAUUUGAAGGCCGCCGAUAAGAUCCAUGUGCUGCCGGGGCAGCCUAGCGGCACCAUCGGCUUAAAUCAGUACGGCGGGUACGUGACCGUCCACGAGAAGAACGGCCGAGCGCUCUUCUACUACUUCGUCGAGGCAGCCAGCGACGCGGCCGCGAAGCCACUCCUCCUGUGGCUUAACGGAGGUCCUGGCUGCUCAUCGCUUGGCUACGGAGCGAUGAUGGAGGUGGGCCCGUUCCGCGUGAACAAGGACAAUAGAACUCUCAGCGAAAACCUGCAUACCUGGACCAAAGUGGCCAACGUGCUCUUCCUGGAAUCGCCUGUCGGCGUCGGGUUUUCGUACUCCAACACGACCUCCGAAUAUGACUCGAGCGGGGACAAGAGGACGGCCAACGAUGCGUUUGUCUUCCUUCUCAACUGGCUCAAGAGGUUCCCAGAGUACAAAGGCCGCCCCUUCUACAUCUCCGGGGAGAGUUACGCCGGCCACUAUGUGCCCCAGCUCGCAGCCACCAUCCUCAUCCACAAUCUCAACAGCAGUACAAGAACUUCCAUAAACCUACGGGGUAUCCUGGUCGGCAAUCCGUACCUUGAUGCCAAUAUGAACAAUAAGGGGAAAGUUGACUAUCAGUGGAGCCACGGAUUGAUAUCAAAUGAGGUGCGGGCCAAUAUCACCGAGAACUGCCAUUUAGACAAGCCAGGUUACACAGCAUGCGUUGAAGAUAUGAUCCAUGGCCCUCAUGCUAACAUCGAUCCGUACGACGUAUAUGAACCGGUUUGCCUGGAAGGGCCAAUUGAAACACGGUACCACAGCCGCUAUAUACCGAGGUCGUAUGAUAUCUGCAGCGAUCGUUACGUAUACGUGUACCUCAAUGAUCCUCGGGUGCAAAAGGCUUUGCAUGCUAGAUCGCAAGAGUGGCAACUCUGCUCCUCACUUAAUUGGAUGGAUGCACCGGCCUCGAUGGUGCCGACGCUCAAAUGGCUAAUAGAGCACCACCUGCCCGUGUGGCUGUACAGCGGCGACUUUGACUCCGUAUGCCCGUUCAUCGCCACGAGUUACACCAUCAAGGACCUUGGCCUCGACGUCACGGAGCAAUGGCGCCCGUGGAUAGUAAAGGAUGAGACUGGAGGGUUCGUUCAGGGAUACACGGGUGGGUUGGUGUUUGCAACUGUGAGGGCAGCCGGGCACGCGGUCCCGUCGUACCAGCCCGAGGCAGCGCUCAUGCUGGUCAGCUCCUUCCUGAAUGGAACGCUUCCCCCGCGUGAUGAGGGUGCAUGA